UCCCUAGUAGCUCAGAUGGUAAAGCAUCUUCCUGCAAUGCAGGAGACCAGGGUUUGAUCCCUGGUUAGGGAA
rfam:TPA: Bos taurus chromosome 8, whole genome shotgun sequence.